AGCAGGAGGCCCAUAGAGUUCUUGGCCGCAGCAGCGGCGGCGGCAGCAGCGGCAGCAGCAGCAGCAUGGCGGCAACUCCGUGGCGGGCGGCCUGGCGGCUUGGGCCGCAUUCCCCGUCCCUGUGGUGGUUUGCGCCACUCUUUAGCUACUCUUUUAAGGUUGGAUUGUAGGCAUUCUUCAUUGGCCCUCAGAACAUCCCUGAGACUCGUCAUUGCUUCUACUGUUCUAGGGAGGAUAAUCUGGAGGUACACAUUGACUGGGAACCUGCCCAAAUAUUACACAGAUCUAACCAAGAAUCAAAUCCAAAUCUUUGGACAUAUGUGAAAAACAGAAAGAGAAGACAAAUGGAGUGCAUGUGUCUGCAUCAGCGAACUACAUUAUUUCUCAAGUGAAGACUGCUGAAGACAACCUGGUAGACUCGAGAUAAAAAAGAUUAUUGCAGAAAAAGAAGGAUACGCAAGUGGUAAAAGAUACACUUUAACAAGGUCCUGAAAGUCGGCAACAUAGGAAGAAGUUGGGAUCAGAGAGAGAAGACAAGCAAACCUUGAACUGACACUACUGAUUCACAGCCUUAACAUUGUGGAGACAAGAAUGCCUCCAGAUAGGACUCUAAGGUAAUUUUUAAAAAUUAUCCAUAGGGAUUCAUAUUCUAUAGCAUGAGUUGGAAGGUACCUGAGGUAAUCGAGGUACCUCAGAAGGAGUUAACUACAAAGAGGAAUCUCACAGUUACAGAGUGUAUUUUAAAACUCAGUGUAUUAGGAGUGAGAACAUUUGCUAAAUUCCACCUUGUCUAUUUAAGUGCUUCUAAUCUCCUUUUUUUAAUGCCCUGAGUUCCCUAUUUCAUAGGCAAGUUCAGAUAUUCAGUGAUAAUGAAAAAAAGAGAAGCUUUAGAUAAAUGAGUUUUGGCUUUAUUUUAACAACUUUGUUGAAAUAUAAUUCAUAUAACAUAAAAUUCAUCCAUUUAAAACAUGCAAUGCACCAUGUAUAUUUAGCUGCAAUAUAUUUAGCACAUUAGUUGUGCAACUAUCAUCACAAUGAAUUUUAAAACACUUCAAUCACCCCCAAAAUAAGCCCAGUACCGUGUAGCAAUCCCUAUGUAUUCCCUCUCAC